ensembl:lncRNA
CUUAUCACAAAAAGCAGCUUUCCUUUGGUUACCCUUCCCUGCAUUUCCACCUGCCUUUUCUUUCUGUGAUUAGUAUAAUAAAUACAAGGUCACAGUGUGGAGGUAAGAAAGUGAUCUAAAGAAACUUCUCCCCUCUCCUACUGAUUGCCUGUGUUUGCCCUGGACCGAAGUGUCAGAGUCAAUGAAAGUUCCAGUGCUCAGCGGGGCUGUUCCUUAUCUUUUGUCCUUCUGCGGACACAUCUGGCUCCAAAGCACAGGCCAGCAUCUGCCUGCACUGACCUGGGGCAGCAAGCACCAAAUACGCAUUGUGUUGUCCCAGGGUGUGGGUGGGAAGGAGCCCCCAGGCUGGGGCUCCUGUCCCUGAGGACAGAGUUCCUUCCUCAGGAGACGUGUUGGAACAACGUAGCUCUCCAACUGCAGGCAAAGCCUCUCUCAUUCUUCCUUUUCAGUUGUCUGUGCUGUGUCGCGGUGUCCCUCUCCUGGUAUGACCCUCCGGAACUUCUCAGUGAGAUUUGGAGGUCAAAAGAGCAAGAUACCUCUGGUGCUUUUACCUGAGCACAGCUCCACUGACAUGAGCUGCUUAGGUCCAGCUGAGGAUCAGCCACACCAGGCAGCUGGAUGGCCACAGACAUGGAAACUUAGAAGUGGGACUUUGGAGGAAACAGAAGGUGGUGAUGGCUCCUGCGUACUGCUUUCUUGCCAGGCUCCUUACUUCUACUGCGCAGGACCAACACAGGAAAGGGUUGAAGACCCUGAGCCUGAAGAGCGUGCCUGAGAGAAAAUGAUGUUUUGGUGCAUGAAACAGGGAGAAUAUCUCAAGAGAGAAUAUCUGAAUGGAGAUCCUUUGCACUUCUUUUUCCUGGAUGAACUGCGAAGCUGAGGCUGAGCCUGGCUCUGUCCGUUUGUGUCUCUCUCUACUUCUCUGUCCCGAAACCCCCCUCCCUCUCCCCUUCCACAGCUCCGGAGGGUGGAGGUGCAAUUCGCUAUGCCAGUUUUUUAUUUCCAGCACGCUUGACAAGCUGGGCGAGGAAGGCGUUAAUGUUUUCUGACAGGCCCCCUCUAAUUGUUGGAGCUUUUCUUCUCUGCCUUUUCUGUGAAAUUCUGACUUAGGCGAGCAGCAUAACAAAAUGCUCUGGCAUUGAAAUGUGCGCUUGCACUACACUGGGCUCGGGGAAACAGCAUUAUUCAUGAAGAUUUUCAGCUGUUUUUGUCUUUUAACUAACCUUUGAGUUUGAUCAGAGGCUAGCCGGGCUCCCUUUCUCAAAAGGCGGUCUUGGCAACCCGACAAUGGAGCCAAACUGUUUUCCCUGUUAAAGAGAUAACUAUGCCGUUGAGUUGGUACAUGGGGGAAAUUAAUCUUCUGGCGCAUACAAAUGAUAGGUUUACCUCGGUCUGCAAUCGUCUGCAUGGGAUUAUUAAUAGGACAGGGGUAAGGAGCAGGAAAAAUUCAGUUUGGGGCAGGGAAUUUAAAAAAAAAAAAAAAGCAAACCCCAACCCCAUCAUCCCCUUUGAUGGCAUAAAGCCUGCGAUUGAUUCCUCACCACUUGCCUUUUGCAGCG